rnacentral:lncRNA from 1 species
GGAGCCACCACUCAUGGCUUCCAAGCUCUGCGACUCAUGCAAGUCCGCCACCGCAACCUUGUAUUGCCGCCCCGACGCCGCCUUUCUAUGCGGAGCAUGCGACUCCAAGGUCCACGCCGCCAACAAGCUCGCCUCGCGCCACCCACGCGUAGCGCUCUGCGAGGUCUGCGAGCAGGCGCCCGCGCACGUCACCUGCAAGGCCGACGCCGCCGUGCUCUGCCUCGCUUGCGACCGCGACAUCCACUCUGCCAAUCCCCUCGCCAGCCGCCACGAGCGCGUCCCUGUCGUGCCCUUCUAUGAGUCCGUACACUCCGUUAAGGCCUCCUCGCCGAUCAACUUUCUGGACGACCACCGCUU